AAUAGAUACCCUGGUAGUCCUGGCCGUAAACGAUGACCACUAGAUGUGUGGGGUAUCGACCCCCUACGUGUCGCAAGCUAACGCGAUAAGUGGUCCGCCUGGGGAGUACGGUCGCAAGAUUAAAACUCAAAGGAAUUGACGGGGACCCGCACAAGCAGCGGAGCGUGUGGUUUAAUUCGAUGCAACGCGAAGCACCUUACCAGGACUUGACAUGCAGUCGCACCGCUCGUAACGGAGCGUGCCCGCAAGGGACGGCUGCACAGGUGCUGCAUGGCUGUCGUCAGCUCGUGUCGUGAGAUGUUGGGUUAAGUCCCGCAACGAGCGCAACCCCCAUGGUUAGUUGGACUUUUCUAGCCAGACUGCCACUCUCAAAGUGGAGGAAGGUGGGGAUGACGUCAAGUCAGCACGGCCCUUACGUCCUGGGCGACACACACGCUACAAUGGCCGAGACAACGAGUCGCCAACCCGCGAGGGGGAGCCAAUCUCAGCAAACUCGGUCUCAGUUCAGAUUGCAGG
rnacentral:rRNA from 1 species